ensembl:lncRNA
AUGAGCGUCUUCCUCGUACCUUCAGAGAUGGAGGGACCAGGCGAGCAGUACUGGAGUACUGGAGUUACUGUUGGGUACUCCAACAGUUUGGGUUAUGACUAUCUGUGUUGCUGGGGUUCGGCACAAAAGCACAACACAAAUAUCUCCAGCCUGAUGGCGGAUGAGAAAGAGGCGCGUCGUGGAACACGGACGGUGACACGGGUUCCAUCCCGCGAGUUCAGCAUUAACAGUCAAAGUCCACUUUACUGUCAUCUCACUAUAUACACGUACACGGAGAGACGAGAAGCUUCGGAUAUUCACAGUAUUCACAACACAACACCAUCACAAGUGACAUUGUGGACAUUUAGUAUAAAGUGUAUGUGGUAUAUGAUAUACUAUGAUAAUCAUGGUAAUAGUGCUGAUAUGACUGUAUAUCAGUGUGUGGAUGUAUUUAGUAUAAAGUGUAUGUGGUAUAUGAUAUACUAUGAUAAUCAUGGUAAUAGUGCUGAUAGGACAGUAUAUUAGUGUGUGGAUGUAUUUAGUAUAUAGUGUAUAUGGUAUAUGAUAUACUAUGGUAAUAAUGGUAGUAGUAGUGAUAUGACAGUAUAUCAGUGUGUGGAUGUAUUUAGUAUAAAGUGUAUGUGGUAUAUGAUAUACUAUGAUAAUAAUGUCAGUAGUAGUGAUAUGACAGUAUAUUGGUGUGUGGAUGUAUUUAGUAUAAAGUGUAUGUGGUAUAUGAUAUACUAUGAUAAUAAUGGUAAUAGUGGUGAUAUGACAGUAUAUCAGUGUGUGGAUGAAUGUAGUAUAGAGUGUAUGUGGUAUACGAUAUACUAUGGUAAUAAUGUCAGUAGUAAUGAUAAUGAUAUGAUAUACAGUAUAUCAGUGUGUGGAUGUAUUUAGUAUAUAGUGUAUAUGGUAUAUGAUAUACUAUGAUAAUAAUGUCAGUAUUAGUGAUAUGACAGUAUAUCGGUGUGUUGAUGUAUUUAGUAUAAAGUGUAUGUGGUAUAUGAUAUACUAUGGUAAUAAUGGUAGUAGUAGUGAUAUGACUGUAUAUCAGUGUGUGGAUGUAUUUAGUAUAAAGUGUAUGUGGUAUAUGAUAUACUAUGGUAAUAAUGGUAGUAGUAGUUAUAUGACAGUAUAUCAGUGUGGGGAUGUAUUUAGUAUAAAGUGUAUAUGGUAUAUGAUAUACUAUGAUAAUAAUGUCAGUAGUAGUGAUAUGACAGUAUAUUAGUGUGGGGAUGUAUUUAGUAUAAAGUGUAUGUGGUAUAUGAUAUACUAUGAUAAUAAUGGUAAUAGUGCUGAUAGGACAGUAUAUUAGUGUGUGGAUGUAUUUAGUAUAAAGUGUAUAUGGUAUAUGAUAUACUAUGGUAAUAAUGGUAGUAGUAGUGAUAUGACAGUAUAUCAGUGUGUGGAUGUAUUUAGUAUAAUGUGUAUAUGGUAUAUGAUAUACUAUGGUAAUAAUGGUAGUAGUAGUGAUAUGACAGUAUAUCAGUGUGUGGAUGUAUUUAGUAUAUAGUGUAUAUGGUAUAUGAUAUACUAUGGUAAUAAUGGUAGUAGUAGUGAUAUGACAGUAUAUCGGUGUGAGGAUGUAUUUAGUAUAUAGUGUAUAUGGUAUAUGAUAUACUACGAUAAUAAUGGUAAUAGUAGUGAUAUGACAGUAUAUCAGUGUGUGGAUGUAUUUAGUAUAUAGUGUAUAUGGUAUAUGAUAUACUAUGAUAAUAAUGGCAGUAGUAGUGAUAUGAUAUGAUGAUAAUAACACAGCAGCAUAGUGUGAGGACGUUCUAGAGAGGAGAGAAAUUUCAUCGCCUUACAUCGAUCACCUGUCGUGGGGUGUCAUGUGAAGAGCCACUUCUUGAGGUUCUGAGUGACACGAGACCACUUGAGGGAAUGCUAACUGGUGACGCUAGCAGCCGAUGCAGAAUUAUUAGUGAAGGAAAUGACAGCAGCGGCUGGUACCUUCUUUCAAAAGAUAGUUGCACAGAUUGUUCUGGACACAAAGGAUCUGCUGCUAAUGCACCAAACGUCACAAGAUACCUUCAGAGGUGUCGCGAAGCGCUGGCCAGUGGGCCGAUCCCCCAGCAUGCACCACAGCUCUGCAUUAUCGGAUUAAAGGGGAGCCGUGAGCUGCUUGCCUGGCUCCGACAUGCCUCCUCCAUCGGCAUCUGCCCCCGUGGACAACGGCAUCACGCCGCAUGCAAUCAACCUGUUCUGUAGACUAACGCAGAUCCACGUCAACUGUAUUUACAACAUCCAGCCGCCCUUAAAUGAAAGUGAUGAAUGAACCCUCGCUAAUAUUUCAUCGCGGCUAUUUCCCACUUGGGAGCCUCUGUUGUUUGGUCCGUCGCCGCCAAAUAUCACGUUUCUGGUGCAUUCUGGAGGCAGCGCGGCCACGUACGGCGCGUAAACAGCCAUCAUUUCUUCACAGGGACACCGCUUAAACAGCGAGAGGGAAAUGUUUUGAAUACCAGUGGCAGGUCCUCGGGCGAAGCCGAGCGGCCGACGCAUCACUCGGCACCCUCCCUUCCACGACAAACGACCCCGCUGAAAAGGCCGAGCCCUGCAGGGUUCACCACUAACAGCAACAACGCACUUUCCCAGCCCGGUGCCAAGGGCUCCGGUUACGUUCCUGCUGGUACCUGUUCAGCUUCGGCACGGUGGAGCCGAGCAGCACUGCACAUCGUACCGUAUACACUUUAAAGAUCUGAGACGUGUAUACUUCCAUGAAUUAAAAAAAAAACCUACACAAAACCCCCUCGCAGACCUACAAAAAAAAAAAACGGCAGAUCUACCAGCAUUAUGCCACAUGUUCUAAAUAUGAAUUGAUGCAAUGCAAUAAAAUGCAAUACAAGACCUAAACA